CAGCCGCCGCGGGAAUACGGAGGGUGCAAGCGUUAAUCGGAAUUACUGGGCGUAAAGCGCACGCAGGCGGUUUGUUAAGUCAGAUGUGAAAUCCCCGAGCUUAACUUGGGAACUGCAUUUGAAACUGGCAAGCUAGAGUCUUGUAGAGGGGGGUAGAAUUCCAGGUGUAGCAGUGAAAUGCGCAGAGAUGUGGAGGAACACCGAUGGCGAAGGCAGCCCCCUGGGCCAAUACUGACGCUCAUGCGCGAAAGCGUGGGGAGCAAACAGGAUUAGAUACCCCGGUAGUCCCUGUCUCUUAUAC
rnacentral:rRNA from 1 species